GGUAACGGGGAAUUAGGGUUCGAUUCCGGAGAGGGAGCCUGAGAAACGGCUACCACAUCUAAGGAAGGCAGCAGGCGCGCAAAUUACCCAAUGAAAACAGUUUCGAGGUAGUGACGAGAAAUAACAAUACAGGGCAUUUUAUGCUCUGUAAUUGGAAUGAUGGGAAUCUAAAACCCUUUCAGAGUAACAAUUGGAGGGCAAGUCUGGUGCCAGCAGCCGCGGUAAUUCCAGCUCCAAUAGCGUAUAUUAGAGUUGUUGCAGUUAAAAAGCUCGUAGUUGGAUUUCUGUCGUGGUCUUCCGGUUUCGCCCGUACGGGUGUUGACUUGGCUAGCCCUCGGCAUUCUUCCGGUGCCUUCCCCGCUUCACUGCGUGGUGGGUUUCUCCGGAACUUUUACUUUGAGAAAAAUAGAGUGUUUCAAGCAGGCUUUCGCCUUGAAUACUUCAGCAUGGAAUAAUAAGAUAGGACUUUGGUUCUAUUUUGUUGGUUUCUAGGACUAAAGUAAUGAUUAAUAGGGACAGUUGGGGGCAUUCGUAUUUAACUGUCAGAGGUGAAAUUCUUAGAUUUG
rnacentral:rRNA from 1 species